rnacentral:rRNA from 1 species
CCUACGGGUGGCAGCAGUGGGGAAUAUUGGACAAUGGGGGGAACCCUGAUCCAGCCAUGCCGCGUGUGUGAAGAAGGCCCUCGGGUUGUAAAGCACUUUCAGUGAGGAAGAACGCCUGGUGGUUAAUACCCAUCAGGAAAGACAUCACUCACAGAAGAAGCACCGGCUAACUCCGUGCCAGCAGCCGCGGUAAUACGGAGGGUGCGAGCGUUAAUCGGAAUUACUGGGCGUAAAGCGCGCGUAGGUGGCUUGAUAAGCCGGUUGUGAAAGCCCCGGGCUCAACCUGGGAACGGCAUCCGGAACUGUCAAGCUAGAGUGCAGGAGAGGAAGGUAGAAUUCCCGGUGUAGCGGUGAAAUGCGUAGAGAUCGGGAGGAAUACCAGUGGCGAAGGCGGCCUUCUGGACCGACACUGACGCUGAGGUGCGAAAGCGUGGGUAGCAAACAGGAUUAGAUACCCUGGUAGUC